rnacentral:lncRNA from 1 species
AUGUUUUUUAGGUAUAAAUCUAAGAAAGAUGAAUUUGAAGGAGACCACAAAAGCAUGUACAGACUCUUGGCCAUUGUGGGGAAAACACAGACACCACAGAUUCCAGACCCUAAGAUCUUCACGAAUUAUGUCUCCAGAGAGAAGCUCACUAAAUCCCCAAUUCUUCAUGAAUUCACAAUAUCAUGAAGAAAGUCUGACGUCUUGUGCCAGAGACAAGUCUCACUAAGUUGCUCCAGCUGGUCUCCAAUUUGCAGUCCUCCUGCCUCAGCCUCCCAGAGUUUGAGGAUUACAGAUGCAACAGUCAAGGCAGAAAACCAAGAUCAUCUUCCCAAGGUCUGAGCUACCGAGUAUCAGAGCCAGAAGAGGAGCCAGGCAGGCAUGGUUCCAAGGUCGCUUCCCUGUGAGACUCCACCUUUCUACUUCACUGACCAAUGAUCCGGGAGGGAAGUGCCUGUGAUGAAGAGUGGCCCAUUCCUUGUUCAGAGCUUCAGUGUGGACAUUGCUGUCACUCCCCUGUUAGGGUUGUCACAUAGGGACUUCAGUGGGGAAGAGCAUGUCCCACAUUUACUUCCUCUUCCUAUGUUGACAGGAACAUAAAAGAGUUAACAGAGCAGUGAGUUCAUUCUCACCAGGUCUCUGCAGGCUGAAAGGCUGUGAGCCAGG